AACGAACGCUGGCGGCAUGCCUAACACAUGCAAGUCGAACGAGACCUUCGGGUCUAGUGGCGCACGGGUGCGUAACGCGUGGGAACCUGCCCUUAGGUUCGGAAUAACUCCCCGAAAGGGGUGCUAAUACCGGAUAAUGUCUUCGGACCUAAGAUUUAUCGCCUUUGGAUGGGCCCGCGUUGGAUUAGCUAGUUGGUAGGGUAAAAGCCUACCAAGGCGACGAUCCAUAGCUGGUCUGAGAGGAUGAUCAGCCACACUGGGACUGAGACACGGCCCAGACUCCUACGGGAGGCAGCAGUGGGGAAUAUUGGACAAGGGGCGAAAGCCUGAUCCAGCAAUGCCGCGUGAGUGAUGAAGGCCUUAGGGUUGUAAAGCUCUUUUACCCGGGAUGAUAAUGACAGUACCGGGAGAAUAAGCUCCGGCUAACUCCGUG
rnacentral:rRNA from 1 species